UGGGGAAUAUUGGACAAUGGGGGAAACCCUGAUGCAGCGACGCCGCGUGAACGAUGAAGCCCUUCGGGGUGUAAAGUUCUUUCGACGGGGACGAUAAUGACGGUACACGGAGAAGAAGCUGCGGCUAACUACGUGCCAGCAGCCGCGGUAAUACGUAGGCAGCGAGCGUUGUUCGGAAUUACUGGGCGUAAAGAGUGCGUAGGUGGUUGGCUAAGUUCGGUGUGAAAUCUCCCGGCUCAACUGGGAGGGUGCGCCGAAAACUGGUCGACUAGAGUGUGGGAGAGGGAAGUGGAAUUCCUGGUGUAGCGGUGAAAUGCGUAGAUAUCAGGAGGAACACCUGCGGUGUAGACGGCUUCCUGUACCAUGACUGACACUGAGGCACGAAAGCGUGGGUAGCAAACA
rnacentral:rRNA from 1 species